AUGAAAUUUAUAUCGAAAAAUGAUCACAAUUAUCAUAUUUGUAGGAUACAGUUAACACUUUAAGAGAGUAUGAAAAACAUUUCAUUUAUUGUUGUUUAUUGUGAUAUAUUGUUUAUCAAUUGCUUGGCUACACUAGGCACUGCGGGUUUUGCGGCUUGUUUCACUUACGUCACUUGCGUCUGAUACCGAAAAGUCUAAAAAAUCUCUUAGGAGACAAAGAAGUAAUAAAAAUUGGGGUAGAUCCUGCAGGAGAUGCUCAAAACUUGCAAGAAGACUAUGGCAUUUACGUGGCUAGCACCGUCCACAUACGUUACUUGACCGUUGUGCUUCGGUGUAAACCACUUAGUUUGGAAAAAUUGUCGAAAUCAUUGUUAAACGUUGAUUUUGUUAAGCGAUGGUAUAUAGCUAGUUCAAAUUGGGAAUUCGAAAAGUUGAAUCCUGAUCAAGUCGAAUACACUGUUAAUGACGCAUUCGCGGGUAUAGAGAUUUUUAAGCAUUCGGCCAAUCGACUGACGCCCAGGAAUUAUUGGAACUUCACAAACGCCGACUUUAUGGCGAUCAUGUCCGAAAUUAAAUAACUCUUGGACCGUGGUUUUUCCGAAGACACACCAAUAAUGCGAACCCAUUACACUACUUUCCAACAAAGAUUACCUUCUUGAAGCGCUAAGUGACCGACCUUUGUGUGUCGUGAGUAAAUCGAAAGCCAAAUGGUAUUUAGAAGAAAGACUAGGAGAGAAAAUACAAUCUGAAGCAUUUACCUUACGUUUAUGCAACCAACCGUUUGCUGAAGAUAAUGAUUAUUGGCAGACCUCUAAUCAACGUGAAUAAGUUGUCUGCGGCAUAAAGAUGCUUUUUUUUUCUUAAGAUAUGGUGCCGAGCGAAUAUCGUAUGCAUUUUCCAUUGACAACCCAGUUUUUUACUUCAAGCGACGUGCUGCAUUCAUGCCCCAAAUGUGACGUACUGCAUUGAGCCAAAAUUGCGAUGCUCCUUACAAGUUUGACCGGGUAACUAUAUAUA